AUGUGCGGCAUGAACCUGGCCUUCAACCGCGAGCUCAUCGGCCCGCCCAUAUACUUCGGCCUCACGGGCGACGGCCAGCCCAUCGGACGCUACGACGACAUGUGGCCGACUGGUGAUCUGCGACCACCUUGGGCUAGGAGUCAAGACGGGGCUGCCCUACAUCUGGCACAGCAAGGCCAGCAACCCGUUCGUGAACUUGAAGGAGUACAAGGGCAUCUUCUGGCAGGAGGACAUCAUCCCCUUCUUCUAGGUCGCGAAGCUGACAAGGAAUGCGACACCGAGCAGAAGUGCUACAUCUCGCUCUCGCAGCAGGUCAAGGAGAAGCUCGGCAAGAUCGACCCCUACUUCAUCAAGCUCGCCGACACCAUGGUCAUCUGGAUCGAGGCCCGGGACAUGCUCAACUCCAAGGACUCCAAGGAGGCCCACGCCAAUGGCAAGCUCAAGGGGAAGUAG
rnacentral:rRNA from 1 species